AGGUUCACAUCCUAGUCCUGCUCCCCACCAGCAACGCGAUCUUGACAGUUUACGAGACCUUUCUGCACCUCAGUUUUCCCCAUCUGUAAAAUGGGGAUAUUAACAGUUUAAUACCAAGUUUGUUCCCAUUAUAUCAUGUAACAUAUCAUGACAUCCUGUUUCUCCAAAACAAAAUAAGAAAGAGAGGACCCUGGGCUAUUUGAUAAUGCCCAGGAUGAGAACUGUGGGGACUGAAGGGGGAAGGAGGGGGGUAGGAGAGAAACA
rnacentral:lncRNA from 1 species